GCACGCUCGGGCCACAGCCGCCACGGCCCCUGGAGCCCACGGGCGGCGGCACGCAGCGCUGCCCGACCCAGCCUCGGGACGCGACGUCCCCGGGGGCCCGCGGGGUCCGCAGCAGCCGGGGACCGCGCUGGCCGCGUAGCAAGGCCCGUCAGGGACAGGGGCUGAGGAACAGACUGUAGGCUCCUGGAAGUAAAGACCCAUCAAUGUGUUUCAAAUGCCCAGCACCAAGACCUUUGUACAGAACAGAAGCUGUGCUGAAAUACAAGCAGAUGCACAAGUACUACACCAAAGCUGAGCGUCGGCGCCUGCCGUCGUCCUCUACCUCAAUAUGCUUUCACCCCUUUUCUGUUUUUAUAAGCUCCUUCCUACCAACGUGUUCAGCACCCCAACCACCACCCGUAACCCACCGAAACUCCACACACCCAC
rnacentral:lncRNA from 1 species